ACUCAGUGAAAUUGAACUCGCUGUGAAGAUGCAGUGUACCCGCGGCAAGACGGAAAGACCCCGUGAACCUUUACUAUAGCUUGACACUGAACAUUGAGCCUUGAUGUGUAGGAUAGGUGGGAGGCUUGGAAGUGUGGACGCCAGUCUGCAUGGAGCCGACCUUGAAAUACCACCCUUUAAUGUUUGAUGUUCUAACGUGGACCCGUGAUCCGGGUUGCGGACAGUGUCUGGUGGGUAGUUUGACUGGGGCGGUCUCCUCCUAAAGAGUAACGGAGGAGCACGAAGGUUGGCUAAUCCUGGUCGGACAUCAGGAGGUUAGUGCAAUG
rnacentral:rRNA from 1 species